rnacentral:rRNA from 1 species
GAGCAACGCCGCGUGAGUGAUGAAGGCUUUCGGGUCGUAAAACUCUGUUGUUAGGGAAGAACAAGUGCUAGUUGAAUAAGCUGGCACCUUGACGGUACCUAACCAGAAAGCCACGGCUAACUACGUGCCAGCAGCCGCGGUAAUACGUAGGUGGCAAGCGUUAUCCGGAAUUAUUGGGCGUAAAGCGCGCGCAGGUGGUUUCUUAAGUCUGAUGUGAAAGCCCACGGCUCAACCGUGGAGGGUCAUUGGAAACUGGGAGACUUGAGUGCAGAAGAGGAAAGUGGAAUUCCAUGUGUAGCGGUGAAAUGCGUAGAGAUAUGGAGGAACACCAGUGGCGAAGGCGACUUUCUGGUCUGUAACUGACACUGAGGCGCGAAAGCGUGGGGAGCAAACAGGAUUAGAUACCCUGGUAGUCCCCCC